rnacentral:rRNA from 1 species
CAACCAUAGAAUUGCCGUUGAAACUGGGAGGCUUGAGUAUGUUUGAGGCAGGCGGAAUGCGUGGUGUAGCGGUGAAAUGCUUAGAUAUCACGCAGAACCCCGAUUGCGAAGGCAGCCUGCCAAGCCACGACUGACGCUGAUGCACGAAAGCGUGGGGAUCAAACAGGAUUAGAUACCCUGGUAGUCCACGCAGUAAACGAUGAUCACUAGCUGUUUGCAAGCGGCACAGCGAAAGCGUUAAGUGAUCCACCUGGGGAGUACGCCGGCAACGGUGAAACUCAAAGGAAUUGACGGGGGCCCGCACAAGCGGAGGAACAUGUGGUUUAAUUCGAUGAUACGCGAGGAACCUUACCCGGGUUUGAACGGAGGUGCUGCAUGGUUGUCGUCAGCUCGUGCCGUGAGGUGUCGGCUUAAGUGCCAUAACGAGCGCAACCCUUGCCACUAGUUACGACUCUGGUGGGACUGCCAGCGUAAGCUGGAGGAAGGCGGGGAUGACGUCAAAUCAGCACGGCCCUUACAUCCGGGGCGACACACGUGUUACAAUGGCGUGGACAAAGGGAUGCCACCUGGCGACAGGGAGCGAAUCCCCAAACCACGUCUCAGUUCGGAUCGGAGUCUGCAACCCGACUCCGUGAAGCUGGAUUCGCUAGUAAUCGCGCAUCAGCAUGGCGCGG